AGUGAUUAACAUUGAGCAUGAGCGACAGCUCGACUCAGUCAAAGUAAAAAGAGCCGGCAAAUCUGGUGCCAGCCGCCGCGGUUACACCAUGUGGCUCAAAUUGAUUUUUAUCGGCGUAAAGCGUGAUUAAAGUUUCACCCCCAUUAGAGUCAAACUAAAACUAAGCUGUGACACGCUUGUGCUUAAGAAGCUCAAAAACGAAAGUUACUCCAAUUUAACCAACUUGAACCCACGACAGCUGGGAUACAAACUGGGAUUAGAUACCCCACUAUGCCCAGCCGUAAACUUUAAACUACACCCAACAUCGCCAGGGAACUACGAGCAAAGCUUAAAACCCAAAGGACUUGACGGUACCCCACAUCCACCUAGAGGAGCCUGUCCUACAAUCGAUACCCCCCGCUAAACCUCACCACUUCUCGCCCACUCAGCCUGUAUACCUCCGUCGUCAGCUUACCACGUGAGCGUAACUCAGUGAGCUUAAUGCCCAUACGCCAACACGUCAGGUCAAGGUGCAGCAAAUGAAGUGGGAAGAGAUGGGCUACACUCUCUAAUAUAGAAAAUACGGAAGACUAUUUAUGAAACCUAGUCCAAAGGCGGAUUUAGAAGUAAAAAGAAAAAGAAUGUCCUUUUUAACUCGGCACUGGGGUGUGUACACACCGCCCGUCACCCUCUUCAAAGCCACCAAAAAGUAAAUACCCAACGCCGCACACAGAAGAGGCAGUCGUACAUG
rnacentral:rRNA from 1 species